AAGUAUUUUCCGCUUAGAAAUGCCAUUUAAAGCCUCGUCCUCGCUCCGGGCACCCUGCGUCCUCCCCCCGCCGUGUGCCUGCGCCCCUCGCCGCGCACCUCUCGCAUCCCGGCGCGGCUCGGGGAAGCCAAAUCGCGCAGUCACAUCGGCAGCUAACGAAGCUCGGCGGCUGCAGCCCACACGACUUUGGUUCCCUGCAUUUAUCCUUCAAUAAAAGCCGAUUCCUUUAUUAGAAACAGGA